rnacentral:lncRNA from 1 species
GGAUAAUUCUAGUUGCCAUCUGUUCUGCUUCCUCAGAAUGACAAGAUAGAUAGCACAGGAUGUUAAGACAAGCUUGUCGGCUGAGGGUUGGCUUUAAAUAUGUCUUCUGCUAGUUUUUCUGUGAGUGAGAAGCUGCAAUAGAUGCCGAAGAAAAAAAUGAAUGUUUUGGGGGGAGAGGGAAAGUGUUCUAUUGAAUGUGAAAAGUUAUUCUUUCUUUUCAUUCAUUUUAUUUAUUUAAGGUUGUUGUGAAUGCACUUUUGGGAGCUAUCCCCUCGAUCUUGAACGUUUUACUCGUCUGUGUUGUCUUCUGGCUCCUGUUUAACAUUGUAGGAGUAAAACUACUUGGACAAAAAUUUUGGAAAUGCGUGCUUAAGACAGGAGAUAACAGAGAAGUUCAGAACAUAAAUGACUGUAGGAAUUAUGGUGGAAAAUGGACAAACAGUUAUGUAAAUUUUGAUCAUGUUGGGAUGGGAUACUUGGCUCUUCUCCAGGUGGCAACUUUUAAAGGCUGGAUGGACAUUAUGUAUGCAGCAGUGGAUGCGCGUCAGAUAGAUGAACAGCCACAAUUUGAGGCAUGCUCAGCUAUGUAUUUUUACUUUGUGAUUUUCAUUAUUUUUGGAUCUUUCUUCAUGCUGAAUCUUUUCAUUGGAGUG